CGUGAGCUGUGGUGUAGGUCACAGAUAAGGCUUGGAUCUGGUGUUGCUGUGGCUCUGGCAUAGGCCAGCAGCUGCAGGUCCGAUUAGACCUCUAGCCUGAGAACCUCCGUACGUCGUGGGUGCUGCCCUGGAAAAGACAAAAAGACAAAUAUACAUAUAAACUGGCCUUCAUUAAAAUGAAAACCUUCAGCUUUGCAAAAGACAAUUCCAAAAGAAUUAGAAGACAGGCCACAAACUGGGAGAAAAUAUUUGCAAAAGACGCAUGGGGUAAGGGACUGCUAUCCCAAAUCUACAAAGAGCUCAGCAAUGAGAAACAAACCACCUGAUGUGAAAAUGGGCCAAAAACCUUCACGGACACUCACUUCACCAAAAGAGAGACACGGUCGGCAAAUAAGCCUAUGAGAAUGUACUCUGUGACUCGUGGUCAGGAGCAUACACGUGAACACAGUGCAAUGCCAGGGCAGGCCCGUGAGAAUGGCUGCAGUCUGGAGCGCUGACAACAUGGAACGAGGACGAGGAUGAAGAACAGCAGGGACUCUCACUUGUCACUGAUGGGAAGGCAGCGUGGCCGUCCUCCUUGGAAGAAAGUUUGGCAGUUCCUAACAAAAAUGAAGCAUAUUCUUACCAUGUAAUCCAGCAAAGUGUUUACCGAAAGAAGUAGAAAAUUUAUGUCCCCCCAAAAAUCUACACGUGGAUGUGCAUAGCAGCUUUAUUCGUAAUUGCCACAGCUUGGAAGCAGCCAAAUGACCUUUAAUAGGUGAAAGGAUAGGUAAACUGGGGGACAUCCAGGCAAUAGAAUAUUAGUCAGUGCUAAAAAGAAAUGAGCUCUCAAGCCAUAAAAAGACAAGGAGGAAGCGUUUACAUUGGGGCACAGCAGAAACGAAUCUGACUAGUGACCGUGAGGUCGCAGGUUCAAUCCCUGGCCUCCAUCAGUGGGUUAAGGAUCCAGCAAUGCCCUGAGCUGUGGUGUAUGUCACAGACAUGGCUUGGAUCCCAUGUUGCUGUGGCCAUGGUGUAGGCCAGCAGCUGUAGCUCUGAUUUGACCCUUAACCUGGCAUAGCCUGGGAACCUCCAUAUGCUGCAGGUGCAGCCUUCAGAAAAGCGCGCGCACACACACACACACACACACACACACACACACAGAUAUGGAGGAAACUUUACUGCAUAUUACAAAGUGGAAGAAACCAGUCUGAAAAGGCUACAUAAUAUAUGAUUUGAAUUAUGUGAUACCUUGGGAAAGGCAAAAUUAUGGAGACAGUAAAAAGAUCAGUGGUUGCUGGGGUGAGAGACGGGAGUAAGAUAAGUAGGAAAAGCACAGAGGACAUGUAGCACAGGCAGGGAAACUACUCUGUACAAUAUUAUAAUAUUAUAAUGAUGGGUGUACGUCAUGAUGCUUUUGUCUAAGCCCAUAGGAUGUGUAAGACCAGGAGUAAACCCUAAGGUAAAUUAUGAACUUUGGGUGAUUAUGAUGUGUCCAUGUAGACUGACCUUUGGUUUGAAAAAAAGAAAAAAGGACCAUUCAGGUGAGUGAUAUAAUGGAGUAGGCUAUGAAAGUGUAUGGGAAAUCCCGAUAGUUUUUCUCAAGUUUGUUAUAAACCUAAAAGUGCUCUAAAAAAUAAAAUCUAAAAGAAAACCUAGGAAUUCUCACUCUAGUGCAAUGGGAUCAGCAGUGCCUCUGCAACGCCAGAACGCAGGUUCAACCCCCUGCAUGGCACAGUGGGUUAAAGGAUCCAGCAUUGCUGCAGCUGUGCUGUAGGUCACAACUGUGGCUCGGACUUGAUCCCUGGUCUGGGAACGCCAUAUCCUGGGGGCGGGGAGCCAAAAAAGGAAAAAUAAAUAAAACCUACUUAAAAUUGAUUAUAGAUAGAAUUUACCUCUUCUUGUUCCAGAUUACUUAGCAAUUGGGUUAUUCUGGGAGGCUGGAUUUUGCAAAACAGUAUCAGAAACUUUGCUCAGUGCCAUUAAUGUGAAUCCAGUCUUUGUCCCUUUUUACUCCUAUAUUAAACAGGCAGUUGGAACGUGCCAGCUGGGGCCCAGAUGCCCUCAGGAGGAGGAGGUGGUAAAGGAUGACAAGGAGGCAUAUGAACAAAAGAAGUCGAGUUCAGGAGAAGGCGGGGCCCACAUAGACCAUGGGUGAGGACGGGCGUUGCAGAGGGAGGGUUCUUGUACAAUCCCCUGUUAAAGCGUGAAGAUAUGCUCUCUCGCAGGAACCUGCUGCUUUCUUGAAAGGCCUCAUUUACAUGUUUCCAAUCUGUUAGUAGUGGAUGCGAUGGAUAUUAAAGGUCACAGCCAGGAAGAGAUUUUAAGCCCAAAUACCACAAGAACUCAUUUCACAUAUAUAUAUUUUUUUCUUAGUGGAAACAAAGUAGUUUAAAGAAGAGUCUGUGUGCAUAACAUAAGUAAAUAAACCAAAAUGAAUGUUAAAAGAACUUGCACAUAAUUUUCCAUGAUGGAAGUUCUGAUGGAGGAACUUCUAUUCCCACAAGCAGCCUUUGUCUGAGAUGCAUCCUAUAAGGGUACUCACGGUGAUACCGAGUGUUACAGUGAUUUUUCUGAACCUUCUGACUCUAUGUGAAUGUUAAAUACUCCUUAAGUUCCUGGUGAUCCAUGAGUGAUCAUGGCACUCCUGACUUCCCCUUCCCUACUUCUAAACCGAGGUUGUUUCCCUUCAACAUUUUUUCCCCUGCUUUUUAGGGCUACACCUGCGGCAUAUGGAAGUUCCCAGGCUAGGGCUUGAAUCAGAGCUACAGCUGCAGGCCUACAGCACAGCCACAGCCACAGCCACCUGGGAUCCGAGCCGCAUCCACAACCUACACCACAGCUGACAGCAAUGCAGAUACCUGACCUACUGAGCAAGGCCAGGCAUCGAACCCGCAUCCUCAUCGCUCUAGUCAGAUUGUUUCCAUUGUGCCACAACAGGAAUUCCCCCCCUCAACAUUCUUAAUAACAGAUUUUUGAGCCAAGAGGAAGUCACCUCAGGAUUGAUUCUGACCCCAUAGGAAGCUGUGGGGUUUGGGGGUGGUCUGAUAUCCUGUUGGGAAAAUACUACAGAUGUUGAGAUGUUGGUGAGACUUUUCUAAUUCUAGGGGUCAUUAGAUACCCACUAUCACAUUCCUCCAAUGCCCUCAAGGGAACACGAUUUCAUUUGAUAGACAACCACUUUCAACCUGUAGCAUAUUUCAAUAUGUAGCAAGUACCACAUGUGGCAGCAUGUUAAAUGUGAAGGAGACAUAAAUCCCUAUCUUUGACAGGGCAGAAUGUUCUCCAAAGAUCCAAGGCAAGAGUUGGAGACCAAGGGAAAUUCCAGAUGGUUAUUUUCUGUCCUUUGGGAACCUCAGUCUCAACAGUUAACAAUGGUGAACAGAGAACAUGGGAAAGGCAAAGCAAGAGCCAUGCCCUUGUCUCUGGCUGUGCAUGUCUUGAUCUCUCUUUGGCCUUAUCUAAAGAUGCCUAUACCAUUGAACCUCAGGGAUGGUGCUGGAGGGGCUGCUCCAGGCAUCUAAGGGCCAUGGUGUUAGACUUGAGUCUCCUCUGAAAUUCAGAUGCUUAUUAUGGACCAACAGAGGAAGCUUUCCAGGACUCUCCCUGACUAAGAGAGAAGACCAGACUUGACCAACAGAAGGUCUUGGGGCUGCCUCAACCAGAGUUUCAGAGUCUGCUGGGCUGUGGGAAACCAUUCCAGGCUGGCUAGCAGUUGAGCCUGAUUAUUUGGGGAUCUGAUUACAUCCUAGUAAAGUAUGAUUUGGAAGAGAGUAGAGUUGGUUUCCAAAGACUCCAAUCUAUAUACCUACCUGCAGGAGUGCGUCCUGAGAUUCCUUCACUGUCACUAAUGUCCCAUUCCUCCUCUAAAAAUAUAGGAUUAAUGGCUGAAUUGGGUGAUGCAGACUCAAAGGAUUACCAUUGUUGGAGAAAGGGGUAGAUCAACAAGGGUGUAGCCAUCAAGAAAGGCUGCAGGGGAGUUCCCGUCGUGGCUCAGUGGUUGAUGAAUCUGACUAGGGACCACGAGGUUGCGGGUUCGAUCCCUGCCCUUACUCAGUGGGUUGCGGAUCCGUCGUUGCUGUGAGCUAUGGUGUAGGUCGCAGACGUGGCUUGGAUCUGGUGUUGCUGUGGCUGUGGUGUAGGCUGGCAGCUGCAACUCCAAUUGGACCCCUAGCCUGGGAACCUCCAUAUGCUGCUGGUGCAGCUCUAGAAAAGAUGGGAAAAAAAAAAAAAGGCUGCAGAAAGAAUGUGACUUGGAUGGGCAGAGAAGGAGUGGGGUUACUAUAAAUUUGCACUGGGUAUGGGUGAGUGGUUGCAUAAAUGGCCUUAUGCAAACAAAAUGGCAGAAAAAUAAUUCAGUUUUAAUAUUGAUUCACUGAAAGUACUGAAAUACCAACCUGUCCCAGGUUGGAUUCUCCAGGAAACAAAUCAUAAGAUAGUGUGUAUUUGUUUCCUAUUGCUGCUGUAACAAAUUACCACCAGCGUAGCAGCUUAAACAACACACAUUUAUUAACCUACAGUUCUAAAUAUCUGGAGCCUAAAGUGGGUCUGUAGGAUCGUGUGAUUUCUGGCUCUAAAGGAGAAUUGAUUUUCUUAGUUUUUCCAGAUUCUAGAGGCUGCCUGCAUUCCUUGGCUUGUGGCCCUUUCUUCCACCUUCAAAGCCAGCUUUGCAACAUCUUUGCUCCCUCUGAUCUCCAGUCACCUCCUCAUAAAGACCCUUGGGAUUACACUGGACCCAUUGGGACAAAGCAGGAUACUCCUUCUAUCUCAGAUUCUUAACUUAGACACACAUCAAAGCAUUUAUACGUUCUGGGGAUGGUUGUGGAUCUCCUUGUGUGUGGGGGGGGGUCAUUAUUCUGUCUAGUACACAGUGUUCAGUGUUCAGAACCAACAAUUGCAAAAAGGGAGAGAAGGAAGAAGAAUGGAGAGAGGGAGAAGCUGAGCUGUGAUGCAGCCUGAGAGUGUCAGCUGACCCCAGGAGGAGCUCUGGGGCUAGAAUAACCAGUCAGAGGUAUCUUAUUUGGAACCGAAGUGACCAAGCUUUUGUUCUUUCUCCUAGAUCAAGUCAUUAGAACUGGGCCACCCCCAGAAGGGCAUGACACCAGUUAAGCUGACUCACUGUACACAGGCUGUUCUGCAGGGGCUGACAGCUGAAGAUUGUCUAUACACCGUGCUCCUAGCAGCUGGGACAGCAGGUCUUUCCUUGAAGGUCCAUCCACGUGGUGCAUCACAUGGCCACCACUCACCCCUGGUCUUGAUGCCUGAAAAGAGUCUUUGGAGAUGUUUUGCUUCAUGUGUGGCCUUACAAGCUGGUGUUUAAGACGUGGCUGCCACUAUACUCCCCCAGGGGAUGGGGUGGGUGGGUGGGGUUUAACUUCUGUAAAGCAUGAAUAAUCCCUAACUUUUUAAUUUAUAACUGAUAGAAUUUGUUCCAAAUGACAGAAUUGCAGUUUCCUCGGUCCCUGCGCUGCUGUAAGUGUUUUACAAAUUUAUUGAAGCAACAGUACAUUUUCAGAGCGAGAGAGUACAUGGGCACUGCUUGCAGGUGUGCCAGUAAAAAGAGGGCCCACAUCACUUAACAGUUUUUGGUUUUUUGUUUUGUUUUGUUUUAUUUUGGGUCAUUUUAGGGCCUCACCUGCGGCAU
rnacentral:lncRNA from 1 species